GUUUUGAUAGUUUAAUAAAAACUUUGGUUUUGUAAACCAAAAAUGAAAUUAAUUUCUUAAAACA
rnacentral:tRNA from 1 species